rnacentral:lncRNA from 1 species
CUUUAUAGCAACGUGAAAAGAGACUAAUACAACAAACAAUCUACUUACAAUAGAUCUGAGAAUAAAAUACCUGGGAAUAAAUUUAACCAAGAGGUGAAAGACCUGGACACUGAAAACUACAAAAAAUUGCUGGCAGAAGUUAAAGAGGAACGAAUUAAAUGACUCCUUCAGAAAUGCAACACAGAGGACUCUAGCCCAACGCAUAAUCUACACUCCAAACUGAAGUUUCUCCUUCAAACUUUGUCUGCUUUACCAUCCUGAUGAGCUUGCCUUCACAUUAACUCAAUGACCCAUGUUGCCCUGUUCACCGAAAUCCUGAAACCAACACUGAGGUAGUCCUGGAGCCUGGCUGUGGCUCUGCCCAACUUUCCUGAGCCACCUCCACUCCUUGCUACUACUGGUCACAGUGGAGAGAUACACAGAGGACAACAGGCAAGGAAAAAAGAGAGCUGAAGAUUAUCAUUAUUUCCUCACUCUUUUCAUCAAAGAUAUUAUCUCCUGGUCCUGAAAUAGUACUGCUCCUUGACACCCUCCUGAGAUACCAGACAAUAAAAAAUGUAGAUUUUAAAAAGUAACCAUCACCUUAUGCUUUAUAAUAAGCCACAAUUUUGUGCUGUUCUUAUUCUAUUAAAGACAAUCGCUACAAUAUAUAAACAUGGUUAGAAACCAUGCAAGCAAGAAAAGCAUGUGGUGAAAUAUUUAAAGAAUUGAAAGGAAAAAAAAAUCUACCUAGAAGUUUGUACCCAGUGAAAUUAUCCUCCAAAAGUGAAGGAAAAAUAAAGACUUUAUCAGAAAAAAGAAUUGAUGUAGACCUACCUUGCAAAGAAGGAUUACAAGAAGUUCUUCAGAGAGGAGGAAAAUGGUGUAGGUCAGAAACUUGGGUCUGCAUAAGCAACAGGGAGCAUCAGGAAAGAAGUGCAACGUCUACCUAGAAUAUCUGCUUCUCGCUGCCACAUGUUCCUUCCAUUCCAUUCCAUGAAGUCUACUUAACGAGCCCCUUCAGUAGAGAAGUUCUCAACGAAUCCCUUCUGGAUCCAGGCAUUCUGAUUACUGUAUUAUGACUGUGCACUCUACCCAGGGCAGACUGUCAUCUGAGCCCGGCCUGUCCUGCUGUCUGCUCUCUCCAGAGAGCAUCCUUCAUCCUGAUAAACAGGCUGCGAGCUGGACAUGUGACUGAGCUCCUUAAGACAUGAGUCUUCAGUCUCCUGCCCUCAGCUUAGCUGGAAGCUGGAUGACAGCCACAUUAAGAGGCUUUCUGCAAGUGGCUUUUGGAUGAAAAGGGGGCCUCUCAGGUACUCCACUCUCACGUUGCAGGCUCUGCAGCAGCUGGUCUAUCUGGUGGCACUGGGAGUAAGUAGUAUGGGAGACCCCUCCAUGCCGGGGUCCCCUGGAGUGUCCUCCUCAUAGCGUGAGGGUUCUUCUCAGGGAUACUGAGGAUAAUUCACAAUGGCUUUGUAGUUGCAAUAUUCUUUUUUUAUUUCUUAAGUUUCUGUGUCCCAAAUUUUAGU